UGACGUAACAGUACUUAGACAAGAUAUUCCAAUCCGUACUACCGAACGUGCACCGGAAGAUGACGCAACAGUACUUAGACAAGAUAUUCCAACACCUACUACCAACAGUACACCAGAAGAACCCGUUACAGGACAAAGUGCUAGUACUGCUGCAGAUGAUAGUCAAGUGAAGAUCAUUUCCAUAACUUUAAUGUUGAUACUUCUGGUAGCAGUUGGAGUAGGCUUUGGUAUUUACUACUAUAAGAAAAAGCAUCAGACAAAGAUACUACCAGAAGACGAUGACGAAGAAGAAUGUGUUUCUGCCAGCACUGAAAGUAUUUUACCUAAAUCUCCAGUUGCCAGAUCUGCCCCCAAACCAGAAGAACAAAAUAGGGAUGGCCUUCCUAAACCGUCAACGUCUAGAGGCGAUAGUCGUCGGUCCGAUAGACUCAACAUUCCACCUCUACCUGAUUUCCCAGCACUACCUAAACGACAUGGCGGGAGAGUAUUACCAAGUCUAGGAGUUACACCAC